rnacentral:rRNA from 1 species
AGUGAACGCUGGCGGUAGGCCUAACACAUGCAAGUCGAACGGCAGCACAGGAGAGCUUGCUCUCUGGGUGGCGAGUGGCGGACGGGUGAGGAAUACAUCGGAAUCUACCUUUUCGUGGGGGAUAACGUAGGGAAACUUACGCUAAUACCGCAUACGACCUACGGGUGAAAGUGGGGGACCGCAAGGCCUCACGCGAUUAGAUGAGCCGAUGUCCGAUUAGCUAGUUGGCGGGGUAAUGGCCCACCAAGGCGACGGUCGGUAUCUGGUCUGAGAGGAUGAUCAGCCACACUGGAACUGAGACACGGUCCAG